AACCAUACUUGGCUCCGGGUUUGUGCAGUGUGCUCUUAGCGGCGUUGGUCAGACCAUCCGCCUCUCUCCUUCCAGCAUCAAGGUAACCUCUCCUUAUUUAGUACGUUUGUAUCAAGAAAACAGUGUUCCAUGUUCCAUCACAAAUGCAAAGAGGGUUCUCACGGAAACAGGAUGCCUCACACCGAUGGAGCUGGCUCUUUGCUACAUAUUAAGCAAAGAGUGUAUUUGUGUUGUUACUGCUUGGACUUUUAAACAUUUGCUCUCUAUAAUAUACUGAUUUAGUCAUAUCUUUUAUUUGUAGUAGGUUGCUUUUAUGGCAUCUUGAUCCAUCAAUUAUUAGGCUUGAUCUCUCAGUGAUGCUCAAGGAGGUAAUUAGAAGGCUCUUGCUUUGCCUGAGAAAGAAAUUAAAUAAUAGGAUGGAAUGACGUACCUUAAACACUCAUAUGGAAUACCCUAUGCUUUUGCUUGCACUGAGUUUUGAUGUGUCCUGAAUCCUAAUUUUGGUCAAUGGGCUUCUCCACAUACUUUUAAUCUUGCAAAUAGAACUACACCAAACAGAAGGGUAUCCUAUGGGAGCAACAAGAUGUUUCUAGAUCUUACAUAUAAGCAGACGCAUCCCUUGUAAUCUAUGUUGUUACUGGUUUUGUAGGAACUUAGAAGAGUUUGCAAUCAUUAAAUCCUUAGCAUGACAAGAAGUCAUCUGUAUAUGCUAUAGCAUUUGUGUCAUCUGAGUUUGGGCCGCGUCCUCUUCGACCGUCUCGGGGAAGAGGUUCUGUGCGAGCUCGUUGGGGUCGACGGUGGGGUAGAGGGAGUUGCCCGUGGCGGCGCCGGUGGAGGUGGUGGGUGCGGAGAAGAAAGGGGUGUUGAGAUCAGGGUGGGACUGGUCCACAUCCGGGUAGAGGCUCUGCUUGGCAUUCGAGGAAGCGAAAGCCAUGGUUGCGUAGCUGGUCGGUUGCUAUUUAAUUUUGCAUUCGGUUCUUACUAUGCUUCAGGGAUUAAGUGGUUGUAAUGACAUUGGGGUAGAUCGUGCUAAUUUUGAUUUGAUUUUUUCUACUUUUUCAGUACUUGAUGAUGAGGCCGUCAUGAGGAAACAACUCCACGAGGCGAGAGAACAGCUGGUGAGACAAAGGUAAGAGUGUUUUUUACCUAUAUAUGUUUGCUGACUGAUGGCUGCAGAUAUCUCUUCACAGAAUUUGUUGAGCAACAUUGGUACUAAUAUAUUCACUCUCUCUGUAGUUUGGAGGAAGGAACUUAGAAUUUGCUAAUCCUGAAGAAAGCUUAUUGUUUUUUUCGACUGAACCAACAAUUAUAUUUGGUGCUGAUGUCACUCACCCUGCUGCUCUAGAUGAUACUUCCCCGUCCAUUGCUUCUUUAAGCUCUUUUUCCGUUUACAAUACGGAUAGUACCAUCUUAUUACAAUAACACUUUAUGCCUGGUGGUUCCUUGUAGGUUGUUGCCUCCCAAGACUGGCCCUAGGUGGCUAACUAUAAUGGCAUUAUCCGUGCACAAGGUCACCGUCAAGAGCUCAUCGAUGGGCUGGAAAACAUUGUCAAGGAACUCCUACUUGCAUUCGUGGAACGGUCUAAGCAGAGACCCAAGCAGCUGAUCUUCUACAGGUUAGUAGUAUCUUCCUCCAAACUUUUCUGACUGACAUGCAAUGGUAAUUGACUCCCUCUUUCACCGUUAGGGAUGGCGUAAGUGAGGGCCAAUUCAAACAAGUGCUGGAGCAAGAAAUCCAUGAGAUAGAGAAGGCAUGGACAGCUCUUUACAAUGAGAAGCCAAAGAUCACCUUCGUAGUGGUGCAGAAGAGGCACCACACAAGGCUCUUCCCCAGCAAACCAAAGGAUCGCCAAUACGCGGACAAGAGUGGGAAUAUUCGAGCUGGUUAGGGAUGCAGGCGCAUUUGCUGUUAUUUUUACAAUGCUUUUGAUGAAACGUUUAUGGAAUUUGCAGGCACCGUAGUUGAUAAUAAUAUCUGCCACCCAACAGAAUUUGAUUUCUUCCUGUGCGGCCAUGCUGGGGCCAAGGUAUGUGUGUAGCAUGUUACAACUAAUUCAGACAUUUUUCCCCCAAAUG